GUUAAUUUUACUCUCAGGUAAGGUUAAAACCAGGGUUGGGAGCUUUGCCAUAAGCAGAUCACUCCCUUCAUCUUCCCACAGGUUGUUGUGGACAUUUAAUAUUCUUGAGCUACCAGCUUUACUUUGAGUCCUCUGGCUUUCUCCAUGAAAAUGUUUUGAACCUCAUGAUUCAUUUGGCUCUAUUUGAAUAUAUUCUCUUUUCAUGUUUGUCCCCUUUGGGCUCCAGUUUUUGAGAUUACUGUUGCACUCAAGGGUAAUUCCCAAUGCCCCUUAGUUUUGAGUAGCCCCUAGAGUAUUCCCUACAUUACCAUUGAUAUCUUUAAUACUGUAGGAACAGUGUAGGUGAUAUUUUGUCAUCUUUCAAUUAGGGCAGAAGAUAUGCAAUUUGCCCAGGUUCACUAGCCAGGAAAGAACCAAUUGGGGUUCACUGGCUAGAAAAUAACUGAUUUGUCUAGAAUAGAAACUUGAGUGACUUGAUAUAGCUCACACAUACCCUCCUAGUACUUUCUUUUCAAAGGUUAGUUUCUUCCCUAGGUGAAGUUGGAUGCCCUCAGGUCUUAGAACUUGUUCAGUUGAUAAUAACUACUUUUGUCUAGACUUUGAAUGGUUUUUAACUUGGACCUUGGCAGUAACUCCCUGACUGAAACAUGCUGGUGACUUUUUUACUCUAGAAGAAAACCUUUCCCUUUAUCCUGUGCUGAUGACAGUUUGUGAUGUGGAAUUACCUUUUCUGGGGGAUGCUAAUUUUAACAUUAAGAGCAAUGAAGUGUCUUUGCC
rnacentral:lncRNA from 1 species